UUGGAUCAAAAGGGGUUUUUGGGUUGUAAUUUUAUUCCCCAAACUUUGCAUUUUGUCAUUUUGGAUCAAAAGGGGUUUUUGGGUUGUAAUUUUAUGAAGGGGGUUCAUUUCUCUCUCCAAUUUGCCUCUACAAAACAUGCAAAUUCAGGUUCUGCAACUCACAGUGGUUAAUUAAGUUGCAUUGCUCAUAAUUUGGUUGCAUUGCUCAUAAUUUGGUUGCAUUGCUGAUGAUUUGGUUGUUAGUGAUUUUGGGUUGUGCUUAAAAAGUGAGAUCAGUUUUUGAUUUGGUUGCACUGUUGAUGAUGUGGUUGUCAGUUUUACCAUCAGGGGGAAUUUGGUUUUCUGGCUGUGUUGCUAAUUUUGUGAUAAGUUGGUUGGAUUUUCAGUGUUGAUCAGUUGAUGAUUUGGUUACAUUGCUGAUGAUUUGGUUUCAUUGUUGAUGAUUUGGUUGGUAGUGAUUUUGGUUUGUGCUUAAAAAGUGAGAUAAGUGGAUGAUUUGGUCAAAUUGUUGAUGAUUUGGUCACAUUGUCAGUUUUACCAUCAGGUGGAAUUUGGUUUUUUGGGUGUGUUGCUAAAUUUGUGAUUAGUUUGUUGGGUUUUCAGUGUGCAGGUUCUGGGACAUUGGCUCACAUUUGUCUGUAGUGAGCUUCAGACUGUCCAUUACCAAAUACUGUUGGUAAAAAAUGGGAGAAAUUGGUAUGAAUUGUGUGAAGUCUGAAUCAGAAGGAAAUAGCUCUUUAAUUCAACACGAAGAAUUCCACAUGCCCUAUCUGGUUAAUCCAGGGUUGGACGUCCAACCUUCAGUUGAUGAUACAAUUUUCUCUGCAUCACCAAUAUGCCCGGCACCACUCUGCCGGCAAUUCUGGAAAGCUGGAAACUAUGAUGACGAGUUUGUCCCUAAGCCGCGUGACCAAUACAAAAGUAACUAUUUGCAUGUUCAUCCCAAAUUCCUUCAUUCAAAUGCCACUUCUCAUAAGUGGGCUUUUGGAGCUAUUGCCGAACUUAUUGACAAUGCAAUUGAUGAGGUACAAAAUGGAGCCUCUUCUGUCAUUGUUGAUAAAGUCUCAAAUCCAAGAGAUGGGAGCCCAUAUUUGCUCAUUCAAGAUGAUGGAGGCGGAAUGGAUCCUGAGGCAAUUCGACGCUGUAUGAGUUUUGGAUUUUCUGACAAGAAAUCCACAUCUGCAAUUGGAAGAUAUGGAAAUGGAUUCAAGACCAGCACGAUGAGACUUGGAGCUGAUGUUAUAGUCUUUAGUCGUCAUGCAAACAAUAGGACAACGACUCAAAGCAUUGGUCUUCUUUCCUAUACAUACCUGUCUUUAAAUGGCCUAGACAGGAUAGUAGUACCUAUGGUUGAUUAUGAGUACAACAAGUCAACUGACACCUUCGUACCUCUACCUCAUCACCACAAAGAGCAAUUUCAGACGAGUAAGUCCAUCAUCUUGCAAUGGUCGCCGUAUCGCAAUGAGGUGGAUCUUAUGAAGCAGUUUGAUGACAUUGGACCGCAUGGAACUAAAGUUAUUGUUUUCAAUUUAUGGUUUACUGAUGAUGAGACGUUGGAGUUUGAAUUCGAAAGUGAUCCUGAGGAUGUUUGCCUACAAGGUUCUAAUAAUUUUAAGAACAUAAAUGGGAAAAACUUAACAAGUGAAGUGCACAUCGGCAUCCGAUACCGUUAUUCCCUCCGAGUAUACUUGUCCAUUUUAUACUUGCGAGUUCCACAGAAUUUCAAAAUCAUACUGCGUGGAAAAGUUGUGGAGCAUCACAGUGUAGCAAGUGAUCUCAAAUAUCCAGAGAUCAUCUUGUACAGACCUCACACUGGGGGCACUAAGGAGGAAGUAUUAGCAACAAUAGGCUUUCUUAAGGAAGCUCCUCAAGUCAACAUCCAUGGCUUCUGUGUCUAUCAUAAAAACCGUCUUAUACUGCCAUAUUGGCAGGUUUUAAGCUAUGAUAGGAGUAGAGGAAGAGGUGUGGUAGGGGUCUUGGAAGCCAACUUUAUAGAGCCUACUCAUAACAAGCAAGAUUUUGAGAGGACUUCCCUCUUUCAAAAGCUUGAAGCUCGAUUGAAGGACAUGGCUUGGGAAUAUUGGGAUUGUCACUGUGGACUUAUUGGCUAUCAGAUUAAAAAACCAAUUCGAGCACCCGUAUCUUCCCUAGACUCAGCUGACGCGCAUCCAAGUUUUUCUAGAAAUGAACCUCUUGACACAAAUACAAGUUUGAAUUUUGCUCGAGUACCUGUUCAUCGGGAUGAUCACGUGGUUAAUUUGCGUGCUGAUUCUGUAUUUCAAAAUGAUCAAAGCAGCAUUCAACAACGUGGUGUCAAGAGGACAAAAGAAGAUGUUUUGCUUGCUCUUGGAAACGGAAUAAUGCAGCCUGCCUCUCAGGCUGCCAGGCCGAGGAAUGACAAGGGAGCUCUGGUGUUGAUGCAGGAAAAUAAAAAGCUUGUUGCAAAGUGUAUGUUUCAGAUGCUUAGAACACGAGAAGGUUGAGGAAGAGCUCAAUUACAAGGUAUCAUGGCUCAAAGGGGAGCUUGAACUGGCGCAACAUGAAUAUGAGAGGAUGUUAAUUGUACUUCAAUCGCUUGAGUUUGUCAAACCUGAAGACUAGGAUGCAACUGCAAAAACAGAAACAAGUCUGAUGCAAAAUGAGGAUGGAGCGUUUUGUGACCGGUUUAAGUGCCGAGUAAUGUGUAAAGAAAUGCUGCUAGAGGCCUUGAUCUUUCAAGAGAAAUGAUGUGAGGAGAGGGCAACUUGCUCUGACCAAUAUUAGUUUGUAAUAAUGUAGUAGUAGUAGUAGUAGCAGCAUUAAACUUGUGUAUAUCAUCAGAGUAUCGAACGACCUUUUUUCUUAAUUUAAAUGAAUUUAACACCUACAAUUAGCCA